ACUGCAGCGCUAAGCGUGAACCAUUCAAGAAAUAUAAGUUUGCUGAUGAUGCUUUAAAGAAAGUCACCCCAGUGAAUUGGUGGAAGUCACUUAAGCACUUGGAUUCAGAGACUGUUGAAGUGAUAAACUCACUUUUAACAGCAGUAGC